GAGAUUCAAAUGGACUAACCCGCUUAAUUUUUCCCGUGGUGAAUGCCGGUGUGAUGGAUGAACGGAUGUCCUUCCACUCCUGACCGCGAGCGCUGCUAACCAUCCGACGAACCACUUUACUUUCGAACGUAAUAUUCUGAAAGUCUUUGACGAAGAUGGCCUUGAUGAACUCGGGAUCGGUGACCCACAGACUGGGAUUGCUGCCGUCAAAAUAUCCAAAAAUCUUGCCGUAUUUUUUCACCAAAUUUCGAUCGUGAUCAGGUAAACUCUAAAAUUCAUUCGAAUUUUAAUUUUUUGUUCUAAGAGUCAUUAAUGAUAAAGAUUACAGUUUAAUUUGAGAAUGAGAUAUUUCUUACCACUCUCCAAAUGCCCCAGAGAUUUCCAAAAAUCGGAAUAGGUUUGGGGCCGGGAAUACCACGUUCAGAGAAAUAAGUGAACGUUGAGGUCAUGUAUCUGCACACAUUACAUAGAUUUAAAUAAAAAAACGUAACAAUUAUUAUAAAAAAUAAGGGCUAUGGCCAUACAGGAUAGGUUAAAAGAUGAAAUAUACCUAUAGAGAAGAAACAAAACCAACGAGGCGACAAAUAGCGUAGAGAGGAUGGAGGAAAAAGCGUCGCUGUCCAUCACGAUAGCCUAAAUCUAAACAACUAUAACUGCUGUAACUCUUUCAACAACAACAAGAAUCACGCAUGUACAAUGUGGGUUCUCGCUUUCUUGCGCUCUUAUAAAUAAGGCGGGAGACCUCAGAUUUUGUUGACGAAAAACUAAAAAUGGAUACACGCACUGAAUCGCAAAGAAUUUCUGUUUGAUUAGCUCCUUUACUCGCUCAACUUUGGAGUUUGAUCUAGCAUCCUAUAUCUUACUUCCAGCGUUGCUGACCGGGAAAACGACGGGUGUGUUUGCUCAUUAUCUACUUAAACGUUUACUUGAAUAUAAAUAAAAUGACCCUUGGCUGUUAUUAAAUUUUCUUUUCAUCCUCCACAUACAGUAUACUUUUAUAUUAUGACGGAGCAUUGCAACACGUAUUGCGUGAAAAAUAUUUAGUGAAGAAUUACCACCCUUUGCGCUCCUUAUUAUAUAAUUCCUAUUACAAGCGAGAAUUAUAAUCUUAAUACGAGUUUUACGAUAACAUUUUUGUGGUAUUAGAU